rfam:Nicotiana attenuata strain TT chromosome 12, whole genome shotgun sequence.
UGGACAGAUUAUUGUAUUCGACUGUAUUUACGGCGUGAAACAGGGGAUUACACUGUUUUUUAGCGAAAAGUGAAUCAAUUAAUACAAUAGACUCCU